UCCGUUAUGGUGUAGCGGCUAACAUUAUCGCCUCUCAUCGUAAGAUUCAGUCCUUAGAACGAGCCAGCUUGGGGUUCAAUUCCUCGUGUCGGAA